ensembl:lncRNA
CACAGACUUUACUCUGAAUAAACGGGCACUGCUCUGUGUUUAACUGCUGUGACACACGUCCCUUCGAUGGCACACCCUUAACACACACAGGCACGGUCACGUGCUUCUCCUCGAUGCAUGAAGACUCACUGCAGUCCUCACACCAACAUCCCCUCCUCGGCACACUCAGGUGUGUUGUUGUGGGAGAAGAUAAGCAGGCUGACGGCUGAUAACAUCACUACUGUCAUGCAGAUGAGCACUCAGCUGUUGUGUGUAAAGAACAGGCACUGUUGACCAGAUUUGUCUUGUGCGCUGGACUGGGUCUAAAGGCAAAAAGGAUUAGAGGAAGUAAAU